rnacentral:rRNA from 1 species
GAUGAACGCUGGCGGCGUGCCUAAUACAUGCAAGUCGAGCGAACAGAUGAGGAGCUUGCUCCUCUGACGUUAGCGGCGGACGGGUGAGUAACACGUGGAUAACCUACCUAUAAGACUGGGAUAACUUCGGGAAACCGGAGCUAAUACCGGAUAAUAUAUUGAACCGCAUGGUUCAAUAGUGAAAGACGGUUUUGCUGUCACUUAUAGAUGGAUCCGCGCCGCAUUAGCUAGUUGGUAAGGUAACGGCUUACCAAGGCAACGAUGCGUAGCCGACCUGAGAGGGUGAUCGUCCACACUAGAACUGAGACACGGUCCAGACUCCUACGGGAGGCAGCAGUAGGGAAUCUUCCGCAAUGGGCGAAAGCCUGACGGAGCAGCGCCGCGUGAGUGAUGAAGGUCUUCGGAUCGUAAAACUCUGUUAUUAGGGAAGAACAAAUGCGUAAGUAACUAUGCACGUCUUGACGGUACCUAAUCAGAAAGCCACGGCUAACUACGUG